GAUGAACGCUGGCGGCGUGCCUAAUACAUGCAAGUCGAGCGAACGGACGAGAAGCUUGCUUCUCUGAUGUUAGCGGCGGACGGGUGAGUAACACGUGGAUAACCUACCUAUAAGACUGGGAUAACUUCGGGAAACCGUAGCUAAUACCGGAUAAUAUUUUGAACCGCAUGGUUCAAAAGUGAAAGACGGUCUUGCUGUCACUUAUAGAUGGAUCCGCGCUGCAUAAGCUAGUUGGUAAGGUAACGGCUUACCAAGGCAACGAUGCAUAGCCGACCUGAGAGGGUGAUCGGCCACACUGGAACUGAGACACGGUCCAGACUCCUACGGGAGGCAGCAGUAGGGAAUCUUCCGCAAAGGGCGAAAGCCUGACGGAGCAACGCCGCGUGAGUGAUGAAGGUCUUCGGAUCGUAAAACUCUGUUAUUAGGGAAGAACAUAUGUGUAAGUAACUGUGCACAUCUUGACGGUACCUAAUCAGAAAGCCACGGCUAACUACGUG
rnacentral:rRNA from 1 species